rnacentral:rRNA from 1 species
GAGUGGUACAAGCAAAUAAUCAAAACUUUUAACAACGGAUCUCUUGGUUCUGGCAUCGAUGAAGAACGCAGCGAAAUGCGAUAAGUAAUGUGAAUUGCAGAAUUCAGUGAAUCAUCGAAUCUUGAACGCACAUUGCGCCCGCCAGCAUUCUGGCGGGCAUGCCUGUUCGAGCGUCAUUUC